CCUACGGGGGGCUGCAGUGGGGAAUAUUGCACAAUGGGCGCAAGCCUGAUGCAGCCAUGCCGCGUGUGUGAAGAAGGCCUUCGGGUUGUAAAGCACUUUCAGCGGGGAGGAAGGCGGUGAGGUUAAUAACCUCAUCGAUUGACGUUACCCGCAGAAGAAGCACCGGCUAACUCCGUGCCAGCAGCCGCGGUAAUACGGAGGGUGCAAGCGUUAAUCGGAAUUACUGGGCGUAAAGCGCACGCAGGCGGUCUGUCAAGUCGGAUGUGAAAUCCCCGGGCUCAACCUGGGAACUACAUUCGAAACUGGCAGGCUAGAGUCUUGUAGAGGGGGGUAGAAUUCCAGGUGUAGCGGUGAAAUGCGUAGAGAUCUGGAGGAAUACCGGUGGCGAAGGCGGCCCCCUGGACAAAGACUGACGCUCAGGUGCGAAAGCGUGGGGAGCAAACAGGAUUAGAUACCCAGGUAGUC
rnacentral:rRNA from 1 species